CCUACGGGUGGCAGCAGUGAGGAAUAUUGGUCAAUGGGCGCGAGCCUGAACCAGCCAAGUAGCGUGAAGGAUGACUGCCCUACGGGUUGUAAGCUUCUUUUAUAAAGGAAUAAAGUGAGGCACGUGUGCCUUUUUGUGUGUACUUUAUGAAUAAGGAUCGGCUAACUCCGUGCCAGCAGCCGCGGUAAUACGGAGGAUCCGAGCGUUAUCCGGAGUUAUUGGGUUGAAAGGGAGCGUAGAUGGGUUGUUAAGUCAGUUGUGAAAGUUUGCGGCGCAACCGUAAAAUUGCAAUUGAUACUGGCAGCCUUGAGUACAGUUGAGGUAGGCGGAAUUCGUGGUGUAGCGGUGAAAUGCUUAGAUAUCACGAAGAACUCCGAUUGCGAAGGCAGCUUACUAAACUGCCACUGACAUUGAUGCUCGAAAGUGUGGGUAUCAAACAGGAUUAGAUACCCUAGUAGUC
rnacentral:rRNA from 1 species